GUGAGGAAUAUUGGUCAAUGGAGGCAACUCUGAACCAGCCAAGUAGCGUGCAGGAUGACGGCCCUAUGGGUUGUAAACUGCUUUUAUGCGGGGAUAAACUGAGCCACGUGUGGCUUAUUGCAGGUACCGCAUGAAUAAGGACCGGCUAACUCCGUGCCAGCAGCCGCGGUAAUACGGAGGAUGCGAGCGUUAUCCGGAUUUAUUGGGUUUAAAGGGUGCGUAGGCGGAAGAUUAAGUCAGCGGUAAAAUGUCGGUGCCCAACGCCGGCCGGCCGUUGAAACUGAUUUUCUUGAGUGGGCGAGAAGUAUGCGGAAUGCGUGGUGUAGCGGUGAAAUGCAUAGAGAUCACGCAGAACUCCGAUUGCGAAGGCAGCAUACCGGCAUCCUACUGACGCUGAAGCACGAAGGCGUGGGUAUCAAACAGGAUUAGAAACCCCUGUAGUCC
rnacentral:rRNA from 1 species